rnacentral:lncRNA from 1 species
UUUUUGUCACUUUCAAAAUUGAAAAACCUUUUUCAAGCUUUUACUAAAAUCUUUUUAUUUAUUUAAAUGGGUUUAGUGAAGUUUGGUUAAAAAAAAGGGGUGUGACUUCUCUGGCGACUUUGCUGGGGAGUUGCGAGUUCGAGCUAGUACUUGAUCUUGUUGGCUUUUAGGAUUUUCCGCUGAGGAUUUUAUGUGUUUUGUUUGUUUUAUUUGAUUUUUAUUUGUUUAUGCCUUUUAUUAUUUACUAGCUGCUUAUGUGUUUACAGUUUUACUUUAUGAGUUUACUACUUCAUAACUGUCAUCAUUCGCAUAAUCCUGGGUCUUUUUUCUACAACAAGUCUUCCGGAGUACAUUUGAGCGUACACGGACUUUUUGUGAGUCACCCGUAUCUUUAAGGGGUGGCGUGUGAGUGUGGAGUGGGCGGAUAGCUAGAGCAGCCGCCAUCGACCACGUGCCGCCCCGGAAAAAUUGCCUUGUCUAGUGAACCCUAACUGUAGGUAAGCCUUUAGCUCAUACUUAUGUGCAUCAUAUUAUUUAAACCUAGUAGGGUUCGGUCCAAGCACCGUAUCCCGUUGUAGGAGGCCUA